AGGGAUAUAACUCAAUUGGUAGAGUAUCGGUCUCCAAAACCGAAAGUUGGGGGUUCGAUUCCCUCUAUCCCUG
rnacentral:tRNA from 1 species